AUGGCUCAGUUGUAGAGCAUCGACUUGAUAUGGUGAAAGUCCUGGGUUCGAUUCCCGGU
rnacentral:tRNA from 1 species